CAACUAUAUGGUAUACACUUUUGCCGCUAUAUAUUGACCGCAGGGAGCUGAUACCGAAGAGAUCUUUAAGAAGAAAGGUGUAUCCAAAAUUGCACAUGGGACUUGUGGAUUAUGCGAAGCAAUUGAUACUGUUAAGGUUCAUUGGUCAUAUGAAGUUUGCACACGUCAAGCUUGACAUCCUAAAGACAUCCUACACAAUGCAUUCUGAAAACGAUACCGUGCAGAUUCGUUGGCGUAUACGUGGUGUCAACACAGGCUGGAAGGUAUUUUCUGUGUUUUGGAAGUAAAAUUUGGAAAAUACAACAUGCCAUAAUAAGCGCUAACCAGGAAAUAUGGUACGAUGGCUUUUUUAUUUUUUACGUUAAUGCUGAAUGGAAAAGUCUAUAAGCAUAUUGCGGACAAAAUGAUGCCCUAAUCUGGAUACAGCCACGAAAAAGAAAGAUAUGCGCAUGGCAGGGAA